rnacentral:rRNA from 1 species
GACGAACGCUGGCGGCGUGCCUAAUACAUGCAAGUCGAACGGAGUGGCGAACGGGUGAGUAACACGUGGGUGAACUGCUCUGCAAUUCGGGAUAAGCAUGGGAAACUGGGUCUAAUACCGGAUAGUGUGGGAUGGGCCCGGGGCCGAUCAGCUUGUUGGUGGGGUAAUGGCCUACCAAGGGGGAGACGGGUAGCCGGCCUGAGAGGGUGGACGUCCACAAUGGGACUGAGACACGGCCCAGACUCCUACGUGAGGCAGCGGUGGGGAAUAUUGCACAAUGGGCGGAAGCCUGAUACAGCGACGCCGCGUGGGGGAUGACGGCCUUCGGGUUGUGAACUCCUUUCACCAUCGACGCGGUAGAUGGAGAAGAAGCACCGGCUAACUACGUGCCAGCAGCCGCGGUAAUUC